rnacentral:rRNA from 1 species
GACGAACGCUAGCGGCGUGCUUAACACAUGCAAGUCGAACGGAGCUGUUUAUUUCGGUAGAUAGCUUAGUGGCAAACGGGUGAGUAACGCGUAGGCAACCUGCCCUUAGGAUGGGGACAACGGCCCGAAAGGACCGCUAAUACCGAAUGCACUCUAACUUCCGCAUGGAAGAAAGAGGAAAGAUGGUGCAAGCCAUCGCCGAAGGAAGGGCCUGCGUCUGAUUAGCCAGUUGGUGAGGUAACGGCUCACCAAAGCGACGAUCAGUAGCCGGUCUGAGAGGAUGAACGGCCACAAUGGGACUGAGACACGGCCCAUACUCCUACGGGAGGCAGCAGUGGGGAAUCUUCCGCAAUGGGCGCAAGCCUGACGGAGCAACGCCGCGUGAGUGAAGAAGGUCUUCGGAUCGUAAAGCUCUGUUGUUGGGGACGAAAGGGUAGACGAGGCAAUGCGUCUACUAAGAC